CGGCUCUGGAAGCCCGGAGUGACACAGACGAAGACUCCACCUGGGAGUACCAAGGACUAGGGGGACUAAAAGGACUGUUUAAAAGACAAAAACAAUGAGACCAUCCUUUGUAUUUCUGUUAUGUAUUUUCAGUUAUUCAUAUGGCUGGGAAAAUAGGUUUAUGCAACUAGGGGAAAUAAUAGCAGAUUCCUUUAAUCUUACUAAUUGCUGGGUAUGUGGCGGUCCGGGAGAAUUGAAUGAAUGGCCCUGGGUAGCUCAGCCGGUACAACCCAAGUGGUGGCUAAGUAGCUUAAGCAUAGUACAUAAGGGAACGGGAAGGUGGACUGAGGAUCACGGCCCUUGGCGACUCUAUUCUGCUGGAGUAGGUGUCUUUUGCCUUAAUCGAACAAGACAUGAGGGAAGGUAUAUGGGGGAAAGUAAGUGUGAAUGGACUUUAUCUCUGGGGUUUGAUUGUUGGGAUCCCUACUGUCGCCCAUAUGACUGUUUUAGGUACCAAGGACGAUGGAACCUUACCCAUGUAAAGCUAACUAACAAUAGCUGGGUAAAAUGUUCCUACUGGAAUCACAGGGGCGAUGGUUGUAAAGCAGUAGGAUUGGAUGGGUACUUUGAUGCCCUCUUUCUAAGUUGCCAGCGAGAUAACACCACUAACAAGCACCAUGUGGUACGGUGGUAUCAGUGGGCAUGGCAACACCUUAAUGGAACCCGAGUUACCCAUUUUCGACAAUUUUGGGCUAGUACCAAUAGCCCAAGAUUUGGUUGUAAUUGUGUGUGGAAGGCAGGGGCUGGGGCAUGGAAAUGUGACUAUUGUAGCCCAAAUGUAGACAAAUUUCUAGGGGGACCUAUAGAAUCAGGUAACGCUUUAUAUUAUGAGGAGCCGGGCCCCGCCGAUUCCCCUGAGACCUGGGAUGGCCCCUUUGCCAAUGGAAUCUGGGCCUUAAAAGGCCACUAUUGGAUCUGUGGAUCCUAUGCUUAUCGUAGAUUGCCUCCAAACUGGUCGGGAAUAUGUUACGUAGGAUAUAUUAGGCCUCUAUUCUUUUUAUUACCUCAAGCCCAAGGAAAUAAAUUGGGAGUUAAAGUUUAUGAUGAUUUAGUUAGAGAAAAANNNNNNNNNNNNNNNNNNNNNNNNNNNNNN
rnacentral:lncRNA from 1 species